AUGCAUCAUCAUAUAGAUAGCUUAUUUGCAUUAUUCAAAAAACUUUGUAGUCUCAACGAUGAUGCAUACAUGUCAACUAUGGGUGUUGGGUCCAACAAUUCGCAUUGGUCUCAAACCAAUGACAUCCAUUUCGAAGACCAUGAGUUUGAGAUGGACGAGGAGGGUGAGGGCAUUGUCGACGCGCCGAAAGGAAGAGCGGGCAAUUACCCCACCAACAAUGACAAGUUACUAUGCAAUACUUGGUUGCAAGCGUCGAGGGAUCCAUCCUUGGAGGUGAUCAAAGUAGAGACGCUUAUUGGGAGCGAAUGA
rnacentral:rRNA from 1 species